rnacentral:rRNA from 1 species
GAUGAACGCUAGCGGCAGGCUUAAUACAUGCAAGUCGAGGGGCAGCAUGUCCCGACGCAAGUCGGGAUGAUGGCGACCGGCAAACGGGUGCGGAACACGUACAGAACCUUCCUUCGAGCGGGGAAUAGCGCAGAGAAAUUUGGAUUAAUACCCCAUAGUAUUACGGAGUGGCAUCACUUUGUAAUUAAAGAUUUAUCACUUGAAGAUGGCUGUGCGGCUGAUUAGGUAGUUGGCGGGGUAACGGCCCACCAAGCCUGCGAUCAGUAACUGGUGUGAGAGCACGACCAGUCACACGGGCACUGAGACACGGGCCCGACUCCUACGGGAGGCAGCAGUAAGGAAUAUUGGUCAAUGGACGAAAGUCUGAACCAGCCAUGCCGCGUGGAGGAUGAAGGUCCUCUGGAUUGUAAACUUCUUUUAUAUGGGACGAAAAAAGGCUUUUCUAAGUCGUCUGACGGUACCAUAUGAAUAAGCACCGGCUAACUCCGUGCCAGCCGCCGCCGUAAAAC